UCAGUCAAAAACAACAAAAAUGAAAAUCCAUUUUCACUUCUUUCUUGCUUCAUGAACCAAAUGCAGCUUGCUCUCUCUGCAUUUCUUCCUUUCCUUCUUCCAUAAUCGAAGUCAAACCAGCCACACGGCUUGUCAUGCCAACUCAAUUUCUUUUACUCUUGUAAUGUUUCCCCUUUCCUAUCGAAAUUAUACAAAUCCAUUCAAACUUGGAAAAGAUAAGAAUAAGAUACUGAACCUUGUUUUUUAAUUGUUCCUCUCUUGAAGAUGAAGAAGGGGAAUAACAGAACCUAGAGAGUGAGAUCAAAUAGCAGAAACGGAAGCGAAUAUGAUAUGCAGGAAGAGAGUAGUCAGAGGAGAAGGAAUCUGAAAAAGGGGGAGAGAGAGAGAGAGAGA
rnacentral:misc_RNA from 1 species